rnacentral:rRNA from 1 species
UCUGACUNGAGUGCAGAAGGGGAGAGUGGAAUUCCAUGUGUAGCGGUGAAAUGCGUAGAUAUAUGGAGGAACACCAGUGGCGAAAGCGGCUCUCUGGUCUGUCACUGACGCUGAGGCUCGAAAGCGUGGGUAGCGAACAGGAUUAGAUACCCUGGUAGUCCACGCCGUAAACGAUGAGUGCUAGGUGUUAGGCCCUUUCCGGGGCUUAGUGCCGGAGCUAACGCAAUAAGCACUCCGCCUGGGGAGUACGACCGCAAGGUUGAAACUCAAAGGAAUUGACGGGGGCCCGCACAAGCGGUGGAGCAUGUGGUUUAAUUCGAAGCAACGCGAAGAACCUUACCAGGUCUUGACAUCCCGAUGCUAUUCUUAGAGAUAGGAAGUUACUUCGGUACAUCGGAGACAGGUGGUGCAUGGUUGUCGUCAGCUCGUGUCGUGAGAUGUUGGGUUAAGUCCCGCAACGAGCGCAACCCUUAUUGUUAGUUGCCAUCAUUAAGUUGGGCACUCUAGCGAGACUGCCGGUAAUAAACCGGAGGAAGGUGGGGAUGACGUCAAAUCAUCAUGCCCCUUAUGACCUGGGCUACACACGUGCUACGAUGGUCGGUACAACGAGUUGCGAGCCGGUGACGGCAAGCUAAUCUCUGAAAGCCGAUCUCAGUUCGGGUUGGAGGCUGCAACUCGCCUCCAUGAAGUCGGAAUCGCUAGUAAUCGCGGAUCAGCACGCCGCGGUGAAUACGUUCCCGGGCCUUGUACACACCGCCCGUCACACCACGAGAGUUUGUAACACCCGAAGUCGGUG